GUGGGAAUCAUAAUGGCCGAAAAUCUAAGGUUUCCAGGGGAAGGUUCGUCCGCCCUGGGUAAGUCGGGACCUAAGACGAGGCCGAAAGGCGUAGCCGAUGGACAACUGGUUGAUAUUCCAGUACCUGCUUAGUUAGUGAUGGAGUGACAGAUGUGGUUAGUAUAUCCCCAUUAUUGGAUUUGGGGUUAAGCGAAGUAGUUGUAGUAUUGGCAAAUCCGUACUAUAAAACAAAUGCGUGAUAAGGAGUGAACGAGCGAUCAAGUAGCGAAGUUAUAUAUACCAUGUCUCAAGAAAAGCUUCUAAACUUAUAACUAAGUAGCCCGUACCUAAACCGACACAGGUGGUCAAGGCGAGUAGCCUAAGGUGAGCGAGAGAACUGUUGCCAAGGAACUCGGCAAAAUUGUCCCGUAACUUCGGAAGAAGGGACGCUCGAAAGAGCCGCAGCGAAGAGGCCCACGCAACUGUUUAUCUAAAACAUAGCUCUCUGCUAAGUCGAAAGACGAUGUAUAGGGGGUGACGCCUGCCCGGUGCUGGAAGGUUAAGGGGAUUUGUUAGACGUAAGUCGAAGCUUUGAACCGAAGCCCCAGUGAACGGCGGCCGUAACUAUAACGGUCCUAAGGUAGCGAAAUUCCUUGUCAGGUAAGUUCUGACCCGCACGAAAGGCGUAAUGAUGUGGGCGCUGUCUCGGCAGCAGACUCGGUGAAAUCUUAGUACCUGUGAAGAUGCAGGUUACCCGCAACUAGACGGAAAGACCCCAUGGAGCUUUACUAUAACUUAAUAUUGAGUUUUGAUUUAGUAUGUACAGGAUAGGUAGGAGACUUUGAAGUGAGAACGCUAGUUUUCAUGGAGUCGAUGUUGGGAUACUACUCUUAUUAACUCGAAAUUCUAACCUGCAGGUUACAUCAACCUGGGGAACAGUGUUAGGUGGGUAGUUUGACUGGGGCGGUCGCCUCCCAAAAUGUAACGGAGGCGCUCAAAGGUACUCUCAGGUUGGUUGGAAAUCAACUGUCGAGCGUAAUUGCAGAAGAGUGCUUGACUGCAAGACUUACAAGUCGAGCAGGGACGAAAGUCGGAAAUAGUGAUCCUGCGGUUCAGUAUGGAAUGGCCGUGGCUUAACGGAUAAAAGCUACCCUGGGGAUAACAGGCUGAUCUCCCCCAAGAGUUCACAUCGACGGGGAGGUUUGGCACCUCGAUGUCGGCUCAUCGCAUCCUGGAGCUGAAGUCGGUUCCAAGGGUUGGGCUGUUCGCCCAUUAAAGCGGUACGCGAGCUGGGUUCAGA
rnacentral:rRNA from 1 species